GGCCGCGUGGCCUAAUGGUUAAGGCGUUGCAUUUCGGCUGCAAAGAUUGGGAGUUCGACUCUUCCCGCGGUCG
rnacentral:tRNA from 2 species